rnacentral:misc_RNA from 1 species
UCGUUUUUUUUUUUCGUUUCUGUUUCGUCGUCGUCGUCUGCUUCCUUUCUCGGUUGCCGUCUUCCAUUGCUGCAGUGGUGCCCUCACGAUGCACGCAUCGCCGAGGAGCGCACGGCGUGGUAGGUCACCGACAGGGGUGGUGGCGGCCACAGAGGGUGCGACGCAGCUACACACAGCGCGACUGCUGGGCCGUAGCAACGAGCUUCUGCAUGCAAGCCGGGCCUUCUCGGCGUGGGCGGCUGCCAUCCGACAACGCAGAUUGCAGACGCACUUGAAGCGGUGCUCCACGAUGCUGAAGCACAACUCCCUUCGUCAGGAGUACACUCGGUGUUUCAUGCGGUGGCUCGCCUUUACCCAAAUGCGAACCUCCGAGAAUGUGCGAUCGGCCAUUCGUGUGCGUCAAGACGUGCCGCUGCGGUCCAAGGCGGACUUCCUCGCCCUGGCACGUCGGUACUUCGCCAAGUGGCGCGCACAUGUGCGGGAGCGUAAGCAGCGCACCGUCACCAACGUAGAGCUGCUCGAGGCGCUCAACAAGGAACGACUGCGCAGCCGCACGCUACUCAGGUGGUGGCGCUUCCACAACAUGCAGACAAGGAAGCACCGCGCCGCCGAGAUUGCCGAGCUGGAAGAUGCAAAUCUGAAGCUGCAGCAGGAGUUACAGAAAGCCGUGCGUGAGACAAAGGGCUUACGUGAUCAGCUCCAUGCGGCUCUUCAGCAGCAGUCAGGGCUGCAGAAUGACCUGGAGGUCAGCCGCGGCGACAUCGGCGCCUCGGAGCAGCAGCGCCAAAGGGAGGUCAACGAACUGCGUGAGGCGAUGCAGCAAGCGGUGAGGCUCCUGGAGGGACCGUCGAGUCUGCGUUUGCGCUCGCUGCGCAAGUGGAGCAUCGUUGCAGCAAACCCCUGCAGUCCCUCAGGUGCCUCAAAACCACCGCCGCCACGGCCGCCGUCUUCCGAAACCCUGCUGAAGAGCGCCCGCCAGUCGAAGGACACUGCCGAGGCCCUGCUGCGCGCUGUGGGCGACACACUCGUAUCCCUUUCAUUGAUAGCCAAAAUGCCUACGCCGCCCGCAUCGUUCGAGGAGUGUGCUGCGCACCUGCACGAGCGACUCAGCGAAGAGAUGGAGGCCACCACCAUCAAGGCUCAGCGCGAUGAGCUCGCCUCGGCAGCGCAGACGGUGCGUAGCACUCUGGCAGCGGCAUCUUCGCUGCUGCAAGUGGUCUCCCCAGCCGAUUCCGACUGGGAGUCGAGCUGCGGGCCGUCGCUGACGACCUCGCGCGUGGGAGACGGGCCCAGCAAGCCGGGCCCGCAGUCUGCGCUUCGCAGCACGGGCGGCGGCCGGUGCUCCGGUGCAGCGGUUGUGACCUUUGCCCGAUCCUCGUCAGCGGCCCCGGUGGUGAGAAAGGCGACACCGCCAUCGAUUCGCCCUCCAGCCUCCCCGGCGGAUGCAACCUUCAUCGACUACCAGAAGCUGCCGCGGCUACUUGUAGAGGACGCCAAGGCUUUAGCCGGCGCCAUUCAGGCGAUGCACCAGGACGGCAAGCGAUCCGCGGACGAGGUGGCGAACUUGCAGGGUGCUGCGCUCCGCGCCCUCGACGCGUUCGGCGGCCGCGGUGCUACGAACACCAACUUUAUGGCGAAGCCGCAGGAGUCGGUUGAAGAGCGUGCCAGUCGAUCAGCCAACAUCGCCGACUCGCUGCGUGCCCUCUGCGAAAACAUGGACGCGGUACUGGUGCUGACAUCGCUGUGGUCCGGCAAAGGCGCGUCGGAGAAGGUUAGCGUGGCCCUGGAGCGGCUGUGGCACCGCACCCGAGACCUAGAAGCCGCACAUGCCGACGACCUGCAGCAUAUUGCGCAGUAUGCUGCGGUGGUGCACACCUCAGUCGCCAUUCUGCGACCCCCUCCUGCCACACCGCCGUCGACCAUGAGUCAGAGGACUGCAGCUCUGUUGGCGCGAAGGCAGCACAGGGCGCCGCAGGACGACGCCGUGGCUACGCCUGAGCAGGUCGAAGUAGCACGCCGUAGCGCCGGGCAGUUGGCGGCCAAGGGCGAUCGAAAGCCCACAGAGCUCAUAGAGCUGUGCUUGCAAGCGCAGCAACGAGCAGCGGCGGCGCAGUCGAGUGCGCCGACGAAUGAGUUUGACGGUCUGACGAAGAGUGCUCAAGAAAUCAUAGAAGUCGCCAUAGGCAAGAGCCGUUGUGGAGAAAAAGGAGUGCGGUUUUCUGCGGCACGCAGGAGCCGCCCUGACAGGUCUACGGUUGCACCGGAGACAUCCAACUCAGAAGCAGGAGGAGCAGAGGCGUCACGCAGCGGUUCCAUACACCCUUCAACCGCCGAGGCGGUGGCAAGAGCCUUGACGGCUGCGGCGGCGGUAGCCGCAGAGACGCUUAGGAGCUCUGAAGGGGUUGCCGAUAACUCUCUUGUCGACGCCAUUGUGCGGGCGCGAGCGCAGGUGCGCCAACUUCAAGAGCAACUGAAGGCCCUCGCUGUGUCGGAGCUGCAAAACGAAGAGGCGAAGAAGCGGCUGCAGGCAGAGCUGAAGGAGACGGCGACACGCACCAAAGCCAGCGAGAGAGCUCUAAAGAAGCAUGUCGACGACCUCGGCAAGGGCCGCAGCGUCGCCGAGAAGGAUCUGCAGAGGCAGCUAAGAGAACUGCAACGGGAGGCAGCGCAGAGCGCGCAAGACUGCAGGGAUCUCAAGAAGGAGCGAAACGAGCUGGAGGAGGACACCAAGGCGAAGGAUAUGGCACUGAAAUCACAGACUGAGGCGACGCGGAGGUUGUGCGAGGAGGUGAAGAGUCUGCGAAGGCAGCUGGCCGAAGCCGCGUCGGAAAACUCGUUGAGUGACGAAAGGAGAGAGGUGCUGCGUCGGCACGUCGACGACCUGCAGCGGCAGCGGGCGGAUUAUGAAGCUGCCGUCGCGGAGCUGGAGGCCCAGCUUCGCUCCGCGCACGACGCUAUCGAGACGGCCGCUGUUGCGCACCAUGAGUUGGCGAGGCAGCUAUCGACUGUUGAAGAGGCGAAUCGCAGAAACAAUGCCAUUGGUGUGUUCCUGCGCGAUGUACUGCGGGACUGCUUGACGCGUCUGCAUCACUUGACGCAUAAUGCGAGUGCUGCAGCAGCGCGGGAGCGGUCGCUGCAGAGGUCGCUCACACUUCAGCAAGUACCCGACAGACCGCCACCGACGCUAACCCGCGGCAGCGACCCGUCCGAGUACUUGGAGUACUUGUUGCAACUAGACAGCAACGACGCGAUGGGGAAACUGCUGGUACAGCAGCACCUGCGCGAGAACAUGGCGGUGCAAAGGUUGCGGGAACUCAGUGUGGAUGGAGGAGCAGCAGGCGCACCCCGUGCGGAGUCGGCAGCAACGUCUGUGGGUCACAGCGUCCGCUUCGACGGUGCCGAUCCAUCCACCUGGGAGGUUGUGGCGGAGCUGCACGAUCGCCUUGUCCUCCUGUACGACCUCAUUGCCCGUGUGAACGACAGCGCGGUGGAGCAGCGUGCGCGUAUCGACAGGCUCACAGUGGUGAAGGACCAGCCGACGGCAGGCGUGCUGGAGGCGCUUGUGGAACUGAAGCCAUGGUCGUCCGCUGCCGCGGCUGCUGCUCCCGAAGAACAUCAAUUGGCACCGAGCUCGUCCGAAGACGGCGCCGAAUCGUCGCCUCUCGACCGAGCCUUGCGGGCAUCCUGUGCUGAAGUGGCGCAGGCGCUGGAGGAGAUGGAAAAAAUGGCGGCUCUCACGCGACCGUUGGUGGAGAUGCGUUCUUCCGGAUCGCCGUUCUGUCGCGCAAAAGUUAAAGGGCCGCUCGAUAUGGCGAGCACUGACGCGGCUGCGACGAAGCGACUGCUGUCGCUGGUGGCAGAUGUGCAGGACAUGGCGAACUGCUUGCAGCAUCUGUCGGAGUCCGUCGUACACGGCAUCGUUGCCCUUGGUGGCACGCCCGAUGAAGGGGAAAUAAAUGUGUUGAACAGCAUGGAGCGCCGAGACAGCGCGAGCUUGCCCAUGGCCGCCGCAGCGACGAAGGGCACUGCAUUCAAGCGCCAUACGCAGGCUGGGGCACAGGCUGGGUGUGUAGACAGUCGCAUGCUCGCCACCCGUCUGGAGGCAAUAUGCGAGGAGACGGGCGCAUCAGUCCAGGAGCUGAAGCAGCUGCUGGGCGUCGGGGAUGGUGUCAGCGGCGCUUCCUGCGAAAGCUCGAUGAAGGGGGUCGGCAAGCCGCUGAAGCUGAGUGAUGUGCUGCCGCUCAUUGGCGCCAAGGUGCAGGAGUUGCAAGAGGUGAAGCAGGAGUCGGAGCGGAUACUGAUCGGACUGAACCACGCCUUCAGCGAUGACGACUCGCUCUCCACUACGUCCUCAACCCAGCGCUCGCUGAAGCGGAAGCGAAAGCCGUUACCUGCCCUUCAGUGCACCCCGGAGAAGGGCCUACGUCUCAUGCAGCAAGAAAUGAAGGGUCGCAAGAAGACGACGUCGCGGCGCCCUGGUGGCUGCGCCAGUGUGCUACAGGACACCAUGACCACAGUGCGGGAGCGCAUCGGCGACUUGCAAAACCUUCGUUUUACGUGUUGCGCAAUCCUGCAAGUUCUGGAGGGCCGCCUUGUCAAGGGCGACGAGGCAGAGAAGCCGCCCAAGUACGGGGAGGCGCUGAUGGCUUUGCUGACUACACAGAUCGUGGAUCUCAAGCAGGUGCUGCCAGAGACGGAGGAGGCCCUCGCGGGCUACCGCAGCACUCUGCUCAACGUCACCGUCGGCACGCGGCUGCAUAUGCUGUGCGGCGUGGUUCGCUCUCUGAAGCUGGAGCGAGACUCGCUGAAAGAGGACCUGGCGCGCCGCAGUCUACAGAGCAAUAUGCUGCUGAGCGAUUUCAGCGAGGAAGCGAAGGCGCUUCGUGCGAUGAUUGCUCGUCGCGAAGAAGAGCAGGUGCGCCUCGCGAGCGAAAUGGCCAGCGUGUCUGGCGAGACCGAUGCUCAGAAGCGUAACGUGGCGCAGCUGACGGCGAAGCUGGCAUCGCUUGAGCAUGAGCGUAACGUGCUGUGCGGCGCGCUCGUACACACCCUGCGCAGCUUGCCCGGUACGCCAUACCGGCGCGUUCCUCUCGCUGGGAUGCAGAGGAACCUGCUCGCUGCCUUGAAAGAGCGGGGAGAGCUGCUGACGGCGUAUGUGGAGGCAGCUCUUCAGCGUGCCAACGCACAUCAGCAGCACUUGCAAGACAUCCUUCAUAGCUCCCUCGGCGAACUGCGCUGCGACAUGGCAUCACUGCGCGCGCAGGUGACGAACAGCUGGGACCUCUACGGCCGACAUAUGGCCAGCGGAGCGGUGCAGCAGCUUGUGGAGACGACGGAGGUGUUGACGCUGGAAAACAGCAUGUUGCGUCCACGCGCAAUCGAGCGGGAGCAGCUGAAGCUCGAGAAGGCGGAGUUGGAGGCCGCGCUGGUGGAUGCGAAAGCGGCUCGCGUGGAUGUAUUGGCUCGUCUGGAGCACGCCGAGGAUGAGAACACGCAGCUGCGGAGAGCACUGCGGGACGCUCAGAUAGCGCAGGCGCUCACCAACCGCGAUGACGACGACCAGGUCGACGAUAGAAGAAACCGAAGUGGUGGAAAGGUGCUAAGUACGCAUUCGGUGGACUGGGAGCGGCGCAUGAUCAACGGUGCCACAGCACUGACGAUGGACAUGGUCGACUCGAUGAGUGGCACGUCCAUGUCAUCUGUCUUCGGCUCCGUUGUGGAGGAGACGCUGCGCAUUUACGCAGGCGUGCAGCACGGUUUGCGAGAAAUGGCGGCAGCCUGCGAGGGGGCGCGCGGCAAGGACGAACGCCACGUGCGAAUCGCGGUUGAGGAGCAACUUCAGGAGUUGCGAGAGCUGGCCGAAUCCGCUGACUACCUGAGGUCGCGUCUACCAGUGCUGUUCCGUGUGCCGUAUCAGUGAGGAGAACCCAAGAGAGAAAGCGCAAAGUGGACAACGACGGGGCAGGAGAGCCCAUCUCGGGCGAUGCAUGAAGUCCGCCUGCGCGCCGUGCGCGUGCCGGACCGUGAUUCGAGAAAAAAAAAACGGACAUGCACUCCGUAAUGUAGCGCGUGCCGUGUCGCCUGCGUCUCUGUGCUGUACGUGUGGCUUUUGUUGGUUUCGCCGGUGGUUGCGGCACUGCACUGCACUGCGCUCUGUGUGCGCAUUUUCAGCUCUUCUUCUGCCUCCGUUUCCAUGCCUACGUCGAACAAAAGGGAGGACGCCGUUGUCGCACGCCGCUCCCCUCUAUCCAUCCAUCGACCUGCUCAACUGCGGCGCGCUAGCACGAAGCAAAAG